rnacentral:rRNA from 1 species
GAUGAACGCUGGCGGCGUGCUUAACGCAUGCAAGUCGAACGGAAAGGCCCAAGCUUGCUUGGGUACUCGAGUGGCGAACGGGUGAGUAACACGUGGGUGAUCUGCCCUGCACUUCGGGAUAAGCCUGGGAAACUGGGUCUAAUACCGGAUAGGACCACAUUUUGGAUGGUGUGGUGGAAAGUUUUUCGGUGUGGGAUGAGCUCGCGGCCUAUCAGCUUGUUGGUGGGGUAAUGGCCUACCAAGGCGUCGACGGGUAGCCGGCCUGAGAGGGUGUACGGCCACAUUGGGACUGAGAUACGGCCCAGACUCCUACGGGAGGCAGCAGUGGGGAAUAUUGCACAAUGGGAGCAAGCCUGAUGCAGCGACGCCGCGUGGGGGAUGACGGACUUCGGGUUGUAAACUCCGUUCGCUAGGGACGAAGCGUUAUGUGACGGUACCUGGAGAAGAAGCACCGGCUAACUACGUG